CGAGUGAAGAGGGAAGAGCCCAAGAUUGAAAGCUGGCGUCUUCGGCGUCCGCAUUGUAAUCUCAAGAAGUGUUUUCCGCUUCGGACCAUGCCUAAGUCCCUUGGAAAAGGGCAUCAUAGAGGGUGAUAAUCCCGUACAUGGCAUGGAGCGCCCGAGGCUUUGUGAUACGCUUUCUAAGAGUCGAGUUGUUUGGGAAUGCAGCUCAAAAUGGGUGGUAAAUGCCAUCUAAGGCUAAAUAUUGGGGAGAGACCGAUAGCGAACAAGUACAGUGAUGGAAAGAUGAAAAGAACUUUGAAAAGAGAGUUAAACAGUACGUGAAAUUGCCAAAAGGGAAGGGUAGGAGGUCAGAGAUGCGUCUUGGGAUUCAGCCUUGCUUUUGCUUGGUGUUUUUCCCAAGUUGCAGGCCAACGUCGGUUUUGGGCACUGGAGAAGGGUGGAAGGAACGUGGCACCUCUCGGGGUGUGUUAUAGCCUUCUACUGGAUACAGCGACCGAGACCGAGGACAGCAGCGUACUCGCAAGAGCGGGCCUUCGGGCACCUUUACGCUUAGG
rnacentral:rRNA from 1 species